ensembl:lncRNA
GGAAUAGGCGGGGCUAUACCCUGCUCACCGCAGGCCAUAGAACAGCUACAAAUUCCUUAUAAAAAGGCCCGCAAGGACGCCACCCACGGCGGUCUAGCUCCGGAGAAUUUUACCCAUGUUAUUCAGGCCGUUAUAAAUCCGCAAAUCGCGCCACAUGGAGCGGCAUGGACUGAUUCCAACCACCAAGUGAUUGCGGACGUGGAGGUGCGUGUGUCGGCGGCGCCUACAGAGACAGUCGCCGUGCAACCGGAUGGGACUAUACAACACGUCUAUGGAGAUCCCCAGUGUGCGCCACCAGCAGGGCUGACCGUCAAUGAUUGGCCUGGUCUUGACGACAUCCUGGACGCGUCCUGGAAUUCAUCGCUGCUGGAACAUAGCGACUUCACUCCAGCUCUGUGGGUCGACUCUCCAGCUACAUCCGUAGAGGCUACCACCAGUGCAGAGCCUGUACAACACCACCAGCCUGCAGGCCCUGCAUCUGGAUCCCUACACGCCAUUCAAGCCCCUAUCUGCGACUCUCCGUGUAUCGUGAGUCCUCAUGAGGUAGCGGUGCUGCGGCUACCAGCCGGUCCCGCAAUUGCUGAUGGUGAAUACUGGGCUGUGCCGCAAGAUGCUAAAUGGCGUAAAGAAUUUGCUGAUAAAUUAGCCGUGUUAACUGCAACGGUGGCUGUAAACUCCUCAGCCAUUGAUCGUCAGAUUAAACGUGGUGACAGUAGAUACCAGGCUCUCGAAGAGCAGACGAAGCAGUCCUUCAGCGCUAUCAGGCUCGAAAAUGCGCGUGAUCGGAUGAUUGCUAAAUCCCCAAACACUGAAACCAGUAAUGGACUUGCAAUUGUGGACCUUCAACGUAAGCAUUUUGAGGCCGCGGUAGCUGUGCGAGGCAACACGCAGGGCAUAGCGAAAAUUAGCUCAGUAGAGGCGUUAAGAGCUUCUAAAACCGCUCGAAAAUUAUGGUUAAUGGAAUCUACUUGCAAAGCUAACCUGGAUGCCUAUAGGGCAUUGUGUACCGAGAUGUCUGUGAUGAGUGACACAGUAGCAAAGCUCUCGUUGAAUGCUAUUAUUUGAUUUGUGUUUUUUUUUUUUUCUUUUAUCUUGUGGAGAGGGUAUUUUUUUUUGUUUUAAACUGCAUGUAAUAAAACUUUUUUUUCAUUUAAUACCUGACUAAUUAACGUUUUUUUUUUUUUUUUUUAAAUAUAAUUUUUAUAUAUAUAUAUAUAUAUUUUAUUUUAUUUUCUAUCGGCAUUAAAAAAAAAAAAAACUAUAGCCGUACACCAUGCAUAACGCCAUUAGCCCUAGAAAAAGGAAAUUCAAAUCUAUAGACGGUAAUCCCAAGAGACGGCGUAGAUCUGAUAGUGGGGGUAGCAUUAUGGAUUUAGAACUUGAAGAGAUGACAAUGCGGUAUGACGCAACCGGCGAUACGUCUCAUUUGUCGGGCAUAGGCCAUGUGGUGGGUGGGGGCAUGUAUGCAGAAGGUUGUUUAGACAGGCGGGAAAUAUGUGUUGGCGUAGAUAGAACUAGACGGGUGUUAAUUGCAGCUGAUGCAUGGGGUCGUAGCAUGGCUAAUGCUCUAUAUCAGGCAGCACAGAUAAAUGUUUCGAACGAACCAUGUCUAGAUGACGUGGUGGGGCUAGAGGCACCAGGAGAUUUAGACACAAGGGGUGUGUUGUAUUCGGGGGGAAACACACGAGAUGUACUUAACGCUGUCGGGGGGCGGUUGGAUAGUGCACAAGAGAGUCUAUACAUAUCCACACAGAUCGAUGUAUUGCAGGGGUCGCAACGUGAUGAAGGGGUUGGCGCGGGUUUUCAGGACCCCCCGGCCGCGGCAGGGGUCCCUAUAGAGUCGAGGGGUGUGGUGUAUGUGGGGUCAAACACGCAAGAUGUACUUAACGCUGUCCGGGGAUGGUUGGAUAGUGCACAAGAGAGUCUAUACAUAUCCACACAGAUCGAUGUAUUGCAUGGGUCGCAACGUGAUGAAGGGAUUGGCGAGGGUUUUCAGGACCCCCCGGCUGUGGCAGGGGUCCCUAUAGAGUCGAAUAUACAGGUCGGUGGUGGUGGCGGUGGUGGUGGCGUGGGGGGUGGCGGUGGUGGCGGUGAUGGCGAUGCUGUUGUUGACGAUGAUGGCGAUGCUGUUGUUGACGAUGAUGACAGUGGUGACGGUAGCGGUGUGGGGGAUGGAGGUGCUGGUGAUGGUGCUGCUUAUGAUGGUACACAGGUGUCUGCUGUAACGGGGGAAGAUAAUGGCGAGUUGCAUACCAGAUUAUUUCCCCGGUUUAACGGCUUUGAGGUUAGACAGUCCAUUGACCUGAGAAGUAUAUCCCUUGCAAAUUUACAGGAGGUCCCUGAUUUGAUCAGGGAGAGACUGUCAGAUGCCAUAACAAGCUGCUCGCAAAGUGCAGCCGAUGGUAGUGUCUUAAACGUGGUGCUGAGAGGUCCUUCAUUGGCCUCUGAUGUACAGGCUGUGCUCGUAACGGGUGACGAUUACAAUGAGGAUUUGUUUAUGGAGCAUAUUAGCCAAGUCAUACAGAGCAACGACACAGGUCUGACGGAUGAUGUGCUAGAGCUGGUGGUCACAGGGGUCCACAACAAACGGGGUGGGGCACGUUUGAAGUUAAAAAACAUUCCCUAUGAUGAAAUCAUACACAAGAAGAAGCUAAGUCUCUACACCCCGAGUAAUACUCAUAACAAUUUGUGUUUCUCACUAUGCAUGACACAUUUUCUGCAUGAAGGGGUAACCGGGGGUGACACAGCGUCCGAAGAGACUAAUUUGGAGGCGGCUCGCAAAUUACACAGUGAUCUGGGGUUUGACCCGGAUCACUCUGUGGGUUUCUCGGAUGUUUCCAAAUUUGAGAGACAUCUAGAUGUUAAAAUCCUGAUAUUUCAUCAUAAUGACACAUUCAGGAAGCUGGAGAUGUUCCAGACACAUACAGCCCAGCAUCCUAAAACAGUAUGGCUGUACCUCCAUGAUAGCCACUAUCAUUGCAUAGAGAACAGAACGGCAUUCUUUGGUACGGGAUAUGUGUGUGAAUAUUGCUACAAGGCCCAUGAGGGAAUUCUAUUACACAAAUGCCCGAUCCAUUGCAAUGUGUGUCUGACAGUGUGCGAUAGACUAUCAG